UGGCUCAGUGGUAGAGCACAUGCCUAGCAUACAUGAGGUCCUGGGUUCAAUCCCCAG
rnacentral:tRNA from 1 species